GGGGCCGAUCGGUUUUGACAGCAGGUGGAAUUGAAUAGUAAGCACGUCGAGCGCUGGAACACAGCUCGUUAAUAUCAUGAUUCAAACUUUUUACACGGCGAAAAUAACUACGCUUUAGCUGCUUAAUCUGAAUUAUAGUAAGAUUGCCUAGUUCCUAUUAGAUAGGAAAGCUAGAUUCCUCUAAAAAGCCUUGGUUUAUGGCGUUUUGUUAAGGGGAACCGUAAAAAUAAACCUAGAAUAAUUAGUAUCUCGGAUAUUAUUUGAAAACUAAGAGGUUAAGUAAAAAGUGGUUGUUUUUGACCUAGCUUUUUAUCGAAAAUUUAAUCAAAAACUAAACAUGUAGAAAGCUAUUGGAUUGCUUGUUUGGACCAGGGUUCGAUUCCCUGCGGCUCCACCU
rnacentral:tmRNA from 2 species